rnacentral:rRNA from 1 species
UACACACGUGCUACAAUGGCGUAUACAGAGGGCAGCGAUACCGCGAGGUGGAGCGAAUCUCACAAAGUACGUCGUAGUCCGGAUUGGAGUCUGCAACUCGACACCAUGAAGUCGGAAUCGCUAGUAAUCGCAAAUCAGAAUGUUGCGGUGAAUACGUUCCCGGGCCUUGUACACACCGCCCGUCACACCAUGGGAGUGGGCUGCA